rnacentral:tRNA from 1 species
GCGGGUGUAGCUCAAUGGUAGAGCAGAAGCUUCCCAAGCUUACGACAUCAGCG